rnacentral:rRNA from 1 species
UACAGAGGGUGCGAGCGUUAAUCGGAAUUACUGGGCGUAAAGCGUGCGUAGACGGUAGCGUAAGUCAGAUGUGAAAGCCCCGGGCUCAACCUGGGAACUGCAUUUGUGACUGCAUGGCUAGAGUGCGGCAGAGGGGGAUGGAAUUCCGCGUGUAGCAGUGAAAUGCGUAGAUAUGCGGAGGAACACCGAUGGCGAAGGCAAUCCCCUGGGCCUGCACUGACGCUCAUGCACGAAAGCGUGGGGAGCAAACAGG